UUGCACUAAUCUGCCAAAAUAGUCUAAAUUAUUUAUAUUCAAUAUAAAAAUAAUAAUUUAUUAAAUAUUAGGUCCUUUCGUACUGAAAUAUUUUAAUUUAUUAAAGAUAGAAACCAACCUGGCUUACGCCGGUUUGAACUCAGAUCAUGUAAGAAUUUAAAAGUCGAACAGACUUAAAAUUUAAGCGGCUACACCUAAAAUUAUAUCUUAAUCCAACAUCGAGGUCGCAAUCUUUUUUAUCGAUAUGAACUCUCCAAAAAAAUCACGCUGUUAUCCCUAAAGUAACUUAUUUUUUUAAUCGCUACUAACAGAUCAAUUAUUCAUAAAUUAAUGAUUUUUUUAAAUUAAAAGUUUAUUAAAUUUUAAUAUCACCCCAAUAAAAUAUAAUUAACUAUUACAAUAAAAAAAAUCUACAAAAUUAUAAUACUUCAUAUAUAAAGAUUUAUAGGGUCUUCUCGUCUUUUAAAUUUAUUUUAGCUUUUUAACUAAAAAAUAAAAUUUUAUUACAAAUUUUUAUGAAACAGUUAAUAUCUCGUCCAACCAUUCAUACCAGCCUCCAAUUAAAAGACUAAUGAUUAUGCUACCUUUGCACAGUUAAUAUACUGCGGCCAUUUAAAAAUCAGUGGGCAGGUUAGACUUUUAAAAAAAUUCAAAAAGACAUGUUUUUGUUAAACAGGCGAACAUUAAUUUUGCCGAAUUCUUUAUAAAAACUUAUCAAUUUAUCAUACUUACACACUAUAAUAUACUAAUUUUAUCAUUAUUUUUUUAUUUUUAUAAUUAAAAUAAAUACUUUAAUAAAAAAUUAAAAUUUAAUAAAUAAUAUAUUUAACAAAAUAAAUUAUAACAAUUUUAAUAAUAAUAACUACUUCUAAGCUUAUAUUUAUUAAAUUAUUUAAUAAUUUUUAAUGAUUUAUUUCAUAGCUUAUCCCAUAAAAUAUUAAAAUUAAAUAUUUAUUUAAUUAAUAAAUUUAAUUAAAUAAUAUAAAAUUUCUAAAUUAAAUUUAUUUCUUAAAGAACUAGAUACCUUUAAAAACGAAUAACAUUUCAUUUCUAAUAUAUUAUACAAAAUAAUUUUACCACAUUAACUUUUAUAACAUAUUAACUCUUUUAAAAUCGAGAAAAUUAUUAUAAAUAAUUUUUAUUUAAUAAACCCUGAUACACAAGGUACAAUAAAUUAAAUUUUCUUUUAAAAUAUUAAUUUUUCAAUUUAUUUCAAUUUUCUUUCACAAUACUAUUUAACUAUAAUUAAAAUUAUUUUUUCUUUAUAAAAUACUUAAACAAUCCUUAAAAUAAUUAUUUUUAAUAAUUUA
rnacentral:rRNA from 1 species